rnacentral:lncRNA from 1 species
GUGGGUCUGGAGGAUUUUCUUGAAUUUGUCGUCUAGUUGUUCUAUUGAUCUUUUUCUUUAGCAACUCCAUCUUUAAUGUGCAAUAACUCUGGUUUGCUCUUGAAGAGUGGGUGUAAGAGCCUUCUAAUCAGAGAGCAUAGCAUGUUCAAAGGCUCUAGAAUAGGAGAGAGGAUGGUGUGUUCUAGGCACUGAAAGGAGGCUUUUUGGAUAAGUGUUUUCAUGGUGGGAAAUGAGCUGGAACUUGAAUGAUAGGUAAGAAUUUUAGUGAUGAGAAAAAGUAAAUGGGCAUGAACAAUGAACUACGUGUUAGUCCUUUUAGUGUUGUUAUAAAGAAAUACCUGAGGCUGGGUAACUGUGACCUGGGCAUUUGAUCUCUAGUCUAUGGUUGGGCUCCAGAUGUGAAAAGCCUCCUCAAUUCCCACCUCAGUCCCAUUCAGAGCUGAGAAUUGCUUUUUCCUUUACAUCUUAGUUCAUUGGCAGGGACUAGUCCAAAUUUAUAUGGGGCUGAGCUGCAGAACACUUCCAGAAAAGCCCUUACUCAAAUUUAUAAUAUUGUUGCUUUAAUAUAGUGAAAAGAGCACCAGGAGGAAGAGGAGGCAGGAAGAGGUAGUGUGCUGAGUUUGGUUCCCAAUUUUUCACCUAGUAGCUGUGUGACCUUAGGCAAGCUAGUGAACCUCUCUGAGCCUUAGCACCUUUCUCUCUAAAAUGGGAUUUAUAAUCUCAUCCUUAGAGUAUUGUGAAAAUUAAAUGAGUUAGCAUGUGAAAAACAGCUGCUAUAGUGUUGUCCAUAUAUUUGCUACCUAAUACAAUAUUUUCUUCCCCUCUAUUUUACUCAGAGACUAACAUGCAAAAUAGUUAAAAAUCAGACAUUAUUGUAAAAUAAUAAAUAAGGAAUCUGGGAAAAUAAAAUUAAAUCCACAAAGACCCUCAUAUUUUGCUGGCAUAGAUUUUCAUAAUUGUGGGGGCUCUGA